rnacentral:rRNA from 1 species
UGGGGAAUUUUGGACAAUGGGCGAAAGCCUGAUCCAGCAAUGCCGCGUGUGUGAAGAAGGCCUUCGGGUUGUAAAGCACUUUUGUCCGGAAAGAAAUCCUUGGCUCUAAUACAGUCGGGGGAUGACGGUACCGGAAGAAUAAGCACCGGCUAACUACGUGCCAGCAGCCGCGGUAAUACGUAGGGUGCAAGCGUUAAUCGGAAUUACUGGGCGUAAAGCGUGCGCAGGCGGUUUGCUAAGACCGAUGUGAAAUCCCCGGGCUCAACCUGGGAACUGCAUUGGUGACUGGCAGGCUGGAGUAUGGCAGAGGGGGGUAGAAUUCCACGUGUAGCAGUGAAAUGCGUAGAGAUGUGGAGGAAUACCGAUGGCGAAGGCAGCCCCCUGGGCCAAUACUGACGCUCAUGCACGAAAGCGUGGGGAGCAAACAGGAUUAGAUACCCUGGUAGUCCACGCCCUAAACGAUGUCAACUAGUUGUUGGGGAUUCAUUUCCUUAGUAACGUAGCUAACGCGUGAAGUUGACCGCCUGGGGAGUACGGUCGCAAGA